rnacentral:rRNA from 1 species
AGUGAACGCUGGCGGUAGGCCUAACACAUGCAAGUCGAACGGCAGCACAGUAAGAGCUUGCUCUUACGGGUGGCGAGUGGCGGACGGGUGAGGAAUACAUCGGAAUCUACUUUUUCGUGGGGGAUAACGUAGGGAAACUUACGCUAAUACCGCAUACGACCUACGGGUGAAAGCAGGGGAUCUUCGGACCUCGCGCGAUUGAAUGAGCCGAUGUCGGAUUAGCUAGUUGGCGGGGUAAAGGCCCACCAAGGCGACGAUCCGUAGCUGGUCUGAGAGGAUGAUCAGCCACACUGGAACUGAGACACGGUCCAGACUCCUACGGGAGGCAGCAGUGGGGAAUAUUGGACAAUGGGCGCAAGCCUGAUCCAGCCAUGCCGCGUGGGUGAAGAAGGCCUUCGGAUUGUAAAGCCCUUUUGUUGGGGAAGAAAAGCAGCAGGUUAAUACCCCGCUGUUCUGACGGUACCCAAAGAAUAAGCACCGGCUAACUUCGUG